UGUCCCUGCUGUGUCCUGGAGGAUGUCACGGAGAUGCCCCGGCGGCUCCCGCCUGUGCCGAGCCAGGCCCCCCGCUCCGACACCUCCCGUUCUGCGGGGUCAGAGUGACACGGAACAGGCCAUGGCAGCAGCCGGCCCCCGGCAUCGCCCCUGCUUUGUGUGCCUGGGGAAGUCUGUCCCAUCCUGCAAGUGUCCAAAACCCGCGUGGAGAUGGCGCUUGAGGACACGCUUUAAUGUUGAGAAUUGAGCUGCUUGAGUGGGAACAGAAAGGGUUGAAACCCCAUUUUCAGGAGGUCAAAAGCCCAAUAUAGAAACAGCUGCUGGUUAGUGGUGUGAAUUCCAGGAAAGGAUGUGGGUAACAGCAGCCAAGGCCAGGCAGAGAGGUGGACAGAACGACCUCAGAUACUGGCACUGACAGCUGCACUCAGGGCGAGGAAGCCAGCAGAAGACAAAGGGAGCGUUUCCAAAUUCCUCUGCACCACCCUGCUCUCGAGAGGUGGGGACUGAAAUUCUUUGAGAAGGAGCACAUGCAAACAGUUGCUAAAAGAG